rnacentral:rRNA from 1 species
AGGUUUCCGUAGGUGAACCUGCGGAAGGAUCAUUACAGAAUGAAAGUGCUUAACUGCAUUUUUUCUUACACAUGUGUUUUUCUUUUUUUGAAAACUUUGCUUUGGUAGGCCUUCUAUAUGGGGCCUGCCAGAGAUUAAACUCAACCAAAUUUUAUUUAAUGUCAACCGAUUAUUUAAUAGUCAAAACUUUCAACAACGGAUCUCUUGGUUCUCGCAUCGAUGAAGAACGCAGCGAAAUGCGAUAAGUAAUAUGAAUUGCAGAUAUUCGUGAAUCAUCGAAUCUUUGAACGCACAUUGCGCCCUUUGGUAUUCCAAAGGGCAUGCCUGUUUGAGCGUCAUUUCUCCCUCAAACCCUCGGGUUUGGUGUUGAGCGAUACGCUGGGUUUGCUUGAAAGAAAGGCGGAGUAUAAACUAAUGGAUAGGUUUUUUCCACUCAUUGGUACAAACUCCAAAACUUCUUCCAAAUUCGACCUCAAAUCAGGUAGGACUACCCGCUGAACUUAAGCAUAUCAAUAA